UCCAACCACUAACUCUUAGCGGGUUAUCCAUUUAUCAAUCUAAUUGAUUAUUUGUGAUUCCUAAUCAUAUUCAACCAUCGGAUCGGUCAUUACCUCUAAUGUGUGUGACCCCAUAGGUUCUAUUCUGACUGGUAGUGAGAUAUAUUGCGAUCUCUAUCACAAUAUCAUUGAAAACUCCUUUCAAUGGGUUGAAACAAUUCCAACUCAACUCAUCAGGGUUCAUCGACCAUCAAGAUGAUCUCUGUAAGUCUCACCAUCCACCAGUGACACCUAGCAGUAUGUAGUGGCUACCCAACAGAACAGAAUGAUGAACCUCUAGGUGCAGUUAUCGUAUGAUACAGUCCUUCUAUCGUGGAUCCCUACAGACUGGAGGUCAUGGAUAACUCGUCAAACCCCAUCGUCUGUCAUAUGUCUAGAUUUAUU
rnacentral:lncRNA from 1 species